CACUUGGAGGAUGUAUAGCAAUAGCUACUUGCAUCAUCAUUUUCUUCUUAAUUUUCUCUUUCCCCCAUACAAUACUUGUAUAGGGGGAAUCAGAGAAAAAUAAGGAGAAAAGUAAUGAUGAUGCAAGAUCGACUAUGUCGAAUAAAAUUCUAGGUAGAAUUAUGAUAAUGACAUUGUCUGCCUAUGUGUCUUGACCAAAUUACGUGCCAGCAGUCGCGGUAAUACGUAGAAGACUAGUGUUAUUCAUGUUUAAUCGGUUUAAAGGGUACCUAGACGGUAAAUCAAGCUUUCAAAGAAAAAGAAGACAAAAAUAAUAGUAUUGUGAUAAUUAAAGGACUAAUUUACUAGAGUUACUUAUGAGGGGGUAUUAAAGUACUGCUGGUGUAGAGAUGAAAUUCUGUCAUACCUCUUUUCAAAAGAAAAAUGAUGGCACAGGUAUAGGCGAAGGCAUCCCC
rnacentral:rRNA from 1 species